ACAUUGAGCAGCAGAAUCAGGAGAAAUGGGACCCCCGGGGUUAGAAUGUGGUGGAGGGACUCGAUUGUGACCCAGACACUGGAGACUCGAACAGCGUCUGUUACAUCACAAAACCAGGGGGUGUUCACCAGCCAAUACCGAGCCGUGAGCAUAAAAUACCAGGAAAUGUUCUUUAAACAGCUCAGCACAGUCACUGCUCCCAGAACCACAGCCGCCGUUUUCUCACUGCAAUAUUUACUUUUCAGCUUCUGGCAACAAAUGGCCACAAACCGAUCAAAGGUGAAAGUGACGGUGAACCAGACAGAGCAGUCAGUGGCUGCAUAAAGCAGGACGGCGUGGAUAUUACACACGGGGACGGAGUCCCUCAGGAAAUAAAACUGUUCCCGAUAAACAAUGGGAAUGUGUCUCAGGAUCAGGUCGAGGAUAAUGACCAGGAGAUCCGCCGCUGCCAUGGCCCCCAGGUAUCUAUGUUAGCUGUUUGGAUACAGAAUUGGCUGGCCAACAGAAGACAGCGAGUGGUAGUGGAAGGAAAAUAUUCUGCCUGGAAGUCAGUGGGCCAUAUAAACAUAUCUUCAAAUCGAUCGAGACCAUUUUCUGCUCAGGGUAUGGCUCUGUGUAUGACAGCAGCAAUGAUGCACCGACAUGGAACAGGGAAUGUGAUGGAGACAUAGUUUGGACAAUGUACAAGGAGACCUCACAUGGCCCAGUUUGGGAGAGAAUGACAUUAUUGUGUGAUUCAACUCAGAGAGGGAGAAAGUGUCAUCUGCCCGAGAAGAAACGGCCUAUUGCACUCUCUCUCCUUCAUUAUUCCUCAUCACAGUAACGUGUGCGAGCUAAAACAAAACUCUACUGUCAUCAUUACCAUUCUUAUUUUUAUAGAAUCCUGCAGUGUGGAAACAAGCCCUUCGGCCCAACAAGUCCAUACUAACCCUCCAAUCAGUCACCUUCCCAUGCCCUUACAGUUACCACUGACUAGUGCACCUAAAGUAGAAAUCGCUGAACACUAUGGACUAUUUGACCAAUCCACUUGAAUUAUACAGCUUUGGGCUGUGGGAGGAAACGGGAGCACCCAUCAGAAGCUCACACAGA